GACGAACCGUGCGAACGUUGUUCGGAAUCACUGGGCUUAAAGGGCGCGUAGGCGGGCUGUCGCGUCUGGGGUGAAAUCCUCCGGCUCAACCGGGGAAGGGCCUCGGGUACGGACGGCCUCGAGGGGGGGGGUAGGGGCGUGCGGAACUGUGGGUGGAGCGGUGAAAUGCGUUGAUAUCCACAGGAACUCCGGUGGCGAAGGCGGCACGCUGGACCCCUUCUGACGCUGAGGCGCGAAAGCCAGGGGAGCGAACGGG
rnacentral:rRNA from 1 species